UGUCAAGAAAUUCUUAUUGCGACUUUUAUCUGAUUUCUGUAUAAUAAAGAACCAAGGCCAAUUUGCUGUGCAGUUGUAUCUUGGCCUACUUUGACAAUCUAUCUGUAUCAUAACUCAGUUCAUAGU